GAUGAACGCUAGCGGCAGGCCUAAUACAUGCAAGUCAAGGGGCCAGUAAUGGCACCGGCGGACGGGUGCGUAACGCGUACACAACGUACCUUUGGGUGGGGAUAGCAUCGGGAAACUGGUGGUAAUACCCCAUGGUAUUGGAGACUGGCAUCAGUUUUCAAUUAAAGACUACGCCCAAAGAUCGGUGUGCGUCUGAUUAGCUAGUUGGUAGGGGUAACGGCCUACCAAAGGGCGGACCGAUCAGUAGGGGGAUGUGAGAGCAUGAUCCCCCACACGGGGUACUGAGACACGGACCCGACUCCUACGGGAGGCAGCAGUUAAGGAAUAUUGGGA
rnacentral:rRNA from 1 species